GGUUAGCUGGCCGUGUUCCUCAGAGAGAGCCCCAGGAAACUGUUGGAAACUCUGUCGUGUUGGGGUCCCCUAUCACUAGGGCAAGAGAAGGGCUGCUGUGCUAGGUAGCACCAUAGCUGUCCUGUGCCUCUUCAGAGAGCCAGAAUAAGGACAAAGCUGACCGUGGAGAAUUACAGAGGACCUGUUGAUAUGAGAGCAGCUAUCCAGCCACUUUGCCUGCCUGCUUGCCUCUCGUUUUUAUAGCUGUACCAGACUAUACCAUAUUGUGCUGUUGUCAAGAAGAAA